rnacentral:rRNA from 1 species
GAUGAACGCUAGCGGGAGGCCUAACACAUGCAAGCCGAGCGGUAUUUCUUCUUCGGGAGAGAGAGAGCGGCGUACGGGUGCGGAACACGUGUGCAACCUGCCUUUAUCUAGAGGAUAGCCUUUCGAAAGGAAGAUUAAUACUCUAUAAUAUAUUAAUUGGCAUCAAUUGAUAUUGAAAACUCCGGUGGAUAGAGAUGGGCACGCGCAAGAUUAGCUAGUUGGUGAGGUAACGGCUCACCAAGGCAAUGAUCUUUAGGGGGCCUGGGAGGGUGAUCCCCCACACUGGUACUGAGACACGGACCAGACUCCUACGGGAGGCAGCAGUGAGGAAUAUUGGUCAAUGGGUGCAAGCCUGAACCAGCCAUCCCGCGUGAAGGAUUAAGGUCCUAUGGAUUGUAAACUUCGUUUGUAUAGGGAUAAACCUACCCUCGUGAGGGUAGCUGAAGGUACUAUACGAAUAAGCACCGGCUAACUCCGUGCCAGCAGCCGCAGUAAAAC